UGUGUGUGUGUGUGUGUGUGUGUGUGUGUGUGUGUUUGUGUGCACGCACAUGGGUGUGUGUGAAACAGAGAGAACGAGAACACAUGCACACAAUGCACACAUGUGCACACAUGUGCACACACACACACACACACAUG
rnacentral:miRNA from 1 species